rnacentral:rRNA from 1 species
AUUGAACGCUGGCGGCAUGCUUUACACAUGCAAGUCGAACGGUAACAGGCCGCAAGGUGCUGACGAGUGGCGAACGGGUGAGUAAUGCAUCGGAACGUGCCCAGUCGUGGGGGAUAACGCAGCGAAAGCUGUGCUAAUACCGCAUACGAUCUAUGGAUGAAAGCGGGGGACCGCAAGGCCUCGCGCGAUUGGAGCGGCCGCUGUCAGAUUAGGUAGUUGGUGGGGUAAAGGCUGACCAAGCCAACGAUCUGUAGCUGGUCUGAGAGGACGACCAGCCACACUGGGACUGAGACACGGCCCAGACUCCUACGGGAGGCAGCAGUGGGGAAGUUUGGACAAUGGGCGCAAGCCUGAUCCAGCAAUGCCGCGUGCAGGAAGAAGGCCUUCGGGUUGUAAACUGCUUUUGUACGGAACGAAAAGGUUUGGGUUAAUACCCUGGGCCGAUGACGGUACCGUAAGAAUAAGCACCGGCUAACUACGUGCCAGCCGCCGCUGUAACAC